UAUGAACAUGAUAUACGUGUACAUGACACACGUGUACUCUAAAUUUUUAAUUUAAUAAAGAGAAUACUUGAUAGACAUUUUAUUCAAACAAGCACCCAUAAGAGACUCUUAGAGUCCAUCAUAACAUAAAACAAAUGAGAAGAGACU